AUUGAACGCUGGCGGCACGCCUUACACAUGCAAGUCGAACGGUAACGGGUCCUUCGGGAUGCCGACGAGUGGCGAACGGGCGAGUAAUAUAUCGGAACGUGCCCAGUAGUGGGGGAUAACUGCUCGAAAGAGCAGCUAAUACCGCAUACGACCUGAGGGUGAAAGGGGGGGAUCGCAAGACCUCUCGCUAUUGGAGCGGCCGAUAUCAGAUUAGCUAGUUGGUGGGGUAAAGGCCUACCAAGGCAACGAUCUGUAGUUGGUCUGAGAGGACGACCAGCCACACUGGGACUGAGACACGGCCCAUACUCCUACGGGAGGCAGCAGUGGGGAAUUUUGGACAAUGGGCGCAAGCCUGAUCCAGCAAUGCCGCGUGCAGGAAGAAGGCCUUCGGGUUGUAAACUGCUUUUGUCAGGGAAGAAAUCUUCUGGGCUAAUACCCCGGGAGGAUGACGGUACCUGAAGAAUAAGCACCGGCUAACUACGUGCCAGCAGCCGCGGUAAUACGUAGGGUGCGAGCGUUAAUCGGAAUUACUGGGCGUAAAGCGUGCGCAUGCGGCUUUGCAAGACAGAUGUGAAAUCCCCGGGCUCAACCUGGGAACUGCAUUUGUGACUGCAAGGCUAGAGUACGGCAGAGGGGGAUGGAAUUCCGCGUGUAGCAGUGAAAUGCGUAGAUAUGCGGAGGAACACCAAUGGCGAAGGCAAUCCCCUGGGCCUGUACUGACGCUCAUGCACGAAAGCGUGGGGAGCAAACAGGAUUAGAUACCCUGGUAGUCCACGCCCUAAACGAUGUCAACUGGUUGUUGGACGGCUUGCUGUUCAGUAACGAAGCUAACGCGUGAAGUUGACCGCCUGGGGAGUACGGCCGCAAGGUUGAAACUCAAAGGGAUUGACGGGGACCCGCACAAGCGGUGGAUGAUGUGGUUUAAUUCGAUGCAACGCGAAAAACCUUACCUACCCUUGACAUGUCAAGAAUUCUGCAGAGAUGUGGAAGUGCUCGAAAGAGAACUUGAACACAGGUGCUGCAUGGCCGUCGUCAGCUCGUGUCGUGAGAUGUUGGGUUAAGUCCCGCAACGAGCGCAACCCUUGUCAUUAGUUGCUACGCAAGAGCACUCUAAUGAGACUGCCGGUGACAAACCGGAGGAAGGUGGGGAUGACGUCAGGUCCUCAUGGCCCUUAUGGGUAGGGCUACACACGUCAUACAAUGGCCGGUACAGAGGGCUGCCAACCCGCGAGGGGGAGCCAAUCCCAGAAAACCGGUCGUAGUCCGGAUCGUAGUCUGCAACUCGACUGCGUGAAGUCGGAAUCGCUAGUAAUCGCGGAUCAGCUUGCCGCGGUGAAUACGUUCCCGGGUCU
rnacentral:rRNA from 1 species